CUACGGGGUGCACCAGUGGGGAAUAUUGCACAAUGGGGGAAACCCUGAUGCAGCAACGCCGCGUGAGUGAUGAAGUAUUUCGGUAUGUAAAGCUCUAUCAGCAGGGAAGAUAAUGACGGUACCUGACUAAGAAGCUCCGGCUAAAUACGUGCCAGCAGCCGCGGUAAUACGUAUGGAGCAAGCGUUAUCCGGAUUUACUGGGUGUAAAGGGAGCGCAGACGGUGAUGCAAGUCAGAAGUGAAAGCCCGCGGCUUAACUGCGGGACUGCUUUUGAAACUGUAUGACUAGAGUGCUGGAGGGGCAAGCGGAAUUCCUGGUGUAGCGGUGAAAUGCGUAGAUAUCAGGAGGGACACCGGUGGCGAAGGCGGCUUGCUGGACAGUAACUGACGUUGAGGCUCGAAAGCGUGGGGAGCAAACAGGAUUAGAUACCCCCGUAGUC
rnacentral:rRNA from 1 species